GCAGUGCAGAAUUCCACACUGGUGGCUAGAACCGAGGCUAGCCAUGCCUCCAGGUUCUGUAUGUGUACUUGGACUGCAUUAUUUAAGGAGCAGAAGGAAUAUGGUUCUGGUGCCACUUUCAUGCAGAAACAUCUUGAAAAACUAUCUGGGAAAAUCCAGCAUUUGAAGGAGCAGAGUAAAUGUGAGGUUCCUGAUGAUGUAAGCAUUAUUCAUCUGAAAACCAUGUGGAUUCCUUGUAAGUAGCUACUAUGUUUAGCUGGAGAGAUCACUGAAAAGAGGAAGUGGCUGGAGUGGAAUAUAGAAAACUGCUGUUUUCACUUCAGAUCUUGCAGAGACUAGCAGAUGCUUGGCUAUUGUUUCAAGCAAGUGGAAUCCAAGCAGUAAAGACAAGAAUCUCACAAACAAAUGUUUGUUAGAAUAAUCAUGUAAUGAAACAAAGAAUGAAAAUAAGAUUGAGGUUCUGACACUACACUUCAACAAACACGACUGUACCGGUUAGCAUCAAAUGUAGAUGAAUGCUUUGGAACUGAUGCUGAACUGUAAGUAUAAAUUAUAUGCCAGCUUUAAGUUAUAUGAACUAGUCAAGCAUUUUCAGUUAUCA